AACAAGAGAAGCAGAAGCUCACAUUUCUCACAAAGUUGCAGUCAUAGACUCAGAGUGAAGGCUCAAGAGCAACUUCAACUCCUCAAGUGCAAGACUGCCAAAUUUUGAGAAGUUCUAUGUGUGGCAAUCGCAAUGGGAGAAAUUUCUUGAAGAUGAGAAUGAUGUUGAUAAUAAGUUUGAUCUUGAAAAGUAUUUUAUGGAUGAUCCGGAGAAGAUUAAGAAUUUCAAUAUCUUGACUUGGUGGAAAUCUUCAUCUGAAAGAUAUCCUAUUAUCUCUAGGAUUGCAAGAGUUGUGCUUGCUAUUCCUACAUCUACUAUUGCCUUAGAAUCAACUUUUAGCACCAGUGGUCAGAUACUUGAUUGUUAUCGAAGUUCUCUAUCGGCAAAGACAGCUGAAGCUCUUGUUUGUUGUCAAUAAUGGUUGCAGUCAACAUCUAAAGAAUGCAAAUUUGAAGACCUUUUAUAAGAAAUUCAAAAAAUUGAGAUCACUAAAAAAGUCGGCCCAUGCCUACUGAGUACCAUUCAUUUGGUACUCAUACUACACUUCAGCCCUCUUCAGAUCAUAGUACGGGUUAUCGUUGAUGAUUUGGACUAGUAUGGAGCAGCUUUUGACUAAGAUAUUUUGUGAGCUCCUGGAGUUCGAAGUUGCCGAUUUCCAUCCUUGCCAGAUUAGGAUUAGUCUUUACUUGCUUUAGAAGACUGUCUGUACUCAUACUAUAUUUAAAAGCCUUGUUCUUCUAUUUUGAUUUUGAUGCCUGAUUACUAACUGAUGUCAGGUCUUGGGGUGGUUUCUUAUGGUUGUUUCAAUGUCCUCUUUCUUCUCAUUA